GAUGAACGCUGGCGGCGUGCCUAAUACAUGCAAGUCGAGCGAACAGACGAGGAGCUUGCUCCUCUGACGUUAGCGGCGGACGGGUGAGUAACACGUGGAUAACCUACCUAUAAGACUGGGAUAACUUCGGGAAACCGGAGCUAAUACCGGAUAAUAUAUUGAACCGCAUGGUUCAAUAGUGAAAGACGGUUUUGCUGUCACUCAUAGAUGGAUCCGCGCCGCAUUAGCUAGUUGGUAAGGUAACGGCUUACCAAGGCAACGAUGCGUAGCCGACCUGAGAGGGUGAUCGGCCACACUGGAACUGAGACACGGUCCAGACUCCUACGGGAGGCAGCAGUAGGGAAUCUUCCGCAAUGGGCGAAAGCCUGACGGAGCAACGCCGCGUGAGUGAUGAAGGUCUUCGGAUCGUAAAACUCUGUUAUUAGGGAAGAACAAAUGUGUAAGUAACUAUGCACGUCUUGACGGUACCUAAUCAGAAAGCCACGGCUAACUACGU
rnacentral:rRNA from 1 species